rnacentral:lncRNA from 1 species
CGAACAGAAUCAUGUAAUCUGAUCUCCAUGUUUUACUUCUUUUACCUAACAUACUGUGUCCAAGGUUUCUCCACGAUAGAACAUGAGAGGUUGAUAUCAAAAUUGGAAAUUUUCUAGUUAUUAGAAAUCGAAAGUAUGGCAGCAGAAUUUAUAAAGAGUUGUUGUAGAGGAUGUUUCUAUGGUGAAACGGAAAAGCACAAGUUUUCUGUGGAAAAAGAGUUUAAAGCAUCAGCCUCAAAUAGCCAAAACACCAUCGGUAUAACUCAAUUGACUUCUGUUUUAGCAAAGCCCCAAGUUGGCUGUAAUGAGGAUUACUUGCUUUCCAAAUUACCAUGUGAUGGUAAAGAAGUACAAUUUGUGGUGCCC